rnacentral:tmRNA from 1 species
GGGGCCGACCUGGCUUUGACAUCGAGAUGACUGGUUCAGUAAGCAUGCCGAGCUUUUGUUUUGUUGGCUCGUUAAUAUCAGCAACUCAGCCUAUAAAUGGCAACACUUCUUACGCGCUUGCUGCGUAAUCUAGUCUAAGACUGAUUACCUUAAUUUGACCUACUAGGUAGGCAAACGAGCUGUCCCACAAAAAGGUUGGCUCUUGACCUUUUGAUUUGGGAUAUCGUGAAUAAGAGCUAGCGAUGGCAGAACCUGGAUGCCUCAGCGAAACCAACAGGAUAAGUUAUUGGAGUGGUUGUUUCUUGCCAGUCAGUAAUCGAAAACCAAUAAGAAAAUAAGCAUGUAGAAAGCUCAAUCUUUCCUUGUUUGGACGGGGGUUCGACUCCCCUCGGCUCCACA